CCUACGGGAGGCAGCAGUGGGGAAUAUUGGACAAUGGGCGAAAGCCCGAUCCAGCCAUGCCGCGUGUGUGAAGAAGGCCUUCGGGUUGUAAAGCACUUUCAGUGGGGAAGAAAGCCUUGGGGCUAAUACCCUCGAGGAAGGACAUCACCCACAGAAGAAGCACCGGCUAACUCCGUGCCAGCAGCCGCGGUAAUACGGAGGGUGCGAGCGUUAAUCGGAAUUACUGGGCGUAAAGCGCGCGUAGGCGGUCUGAUAAGCCGGUUGUGAAAGCCCCGGGCUCAACCUGGGAACGGCAUCCGGAACUGUCAGGCUAGAGUGCAGGAGAGGAAGGUAGAAUUCCCGGUGUAGCGGUGAAAUGCGUAGAGAUCGGGAGGAAUACCAGUGGCGAAGGCGGCCUUCUGGACUGACACUGACGCUGAGGUGCGAAAGCGUGGGUAGCAAACAGGAUUAGAUACCCCUGUAGUC
rnacentral:rRNA from 1 species